rnacentral:misc_RNA from 1 species
AACGGUCUAUACCUGCGGUACCUGCGGAGGGAUCAUUACCGAGUUUACAACUCCCAAACCCAAUGUGAACGUUACCAAACUGUUGCCUCGGCGGGGUCACGCCCCGGGCGCGUAAAAGCCCCGGAACCAGGCGCCCGCCGGAGGGGCCAACCAAACUCUUUUCUGCAGCCCCCGGGCGUUAUUUCUUACAGCUCUGAGCAAAAAUUCAAAAUGAAUCAAAACUUUUAGCAACGGAUCUCU